AGAGUUUGAUCCUGGCUCAGGAUGAACGCUGGCGGCGUGCCUAACACAUGCAAGUCGAACGGAGAUUACGGACGGAAGUUUUCGGAUGGAAGACUGUAAUUCUUAGUGGCGGACGGGUGAGUAACGCGUGGGCAACCUGCCCUAUACAGGGGGAUAGCAGCUGGAAACGGCUGGUAAGACCGCAUAAGUCGGCGAGACCGCAUGGUUUUGCCGGGAAAUGAGCAAUCAGGUAUAGGAUGGGCCCGCGUCCGAUUAGCCAGUUGGCAGGGUAAAAGCCUACCAAAGCAACGAUCGGUAGCCGGACUGAGAGGUCGGACGGCCACAUUGGGACUGAGACACGGCCCAAACUCCUACGGGAGGCAGCAGUGGGGAAUAUUGCACAAUGGGGGAAACCCUGAUGCAGCGACGCCGCGUGAGUGAAGAAGUAUUUCGGUAUGUAAAGCUCUAUCAGCAGGGAAGAUAAUGACAGUACCUGACUAAGAAGCCCCGGCUAACUACGUGCCAGCAGCCGCGGUAAUACGUAGGGGGCAAGCGUUAUCCGGAUUUACUGGGUGUAAAGGGAGCGCAGGCGGUUUGGCAAGUUGAGAGUGGAAGCAGGGGGCUCAACCCCCUGACUGCUCCCAAAACUGUUAAACUUGAGUAUGGGAGAGGCAGGCGGAAUUCCUAGUGUAGCGGUGAAAUGCUUAGAUAUUAGGAAGAACACCGGUGGCGAAGGCGGCCUGCUGGACCAAAACUGACGCUGAGGCUCGAAAGCGUGGGUAGCAAACAGGAUUAGAUACCCUGGUAGUCCACGCUGUAAACGAUGAAUACUAGGUGCUGGGAGGCAUAAGCCUUUCGGUGCCGUCGCAAACGCAUUAAGUAUUCCACCUGGGGAGUACGUUCGCAAGAAUGAAAC
rnacentral:rRNA from 1 species